GACCUCAUUUUGCAGCACGUACUAAAAUUGGAACUAUACAGCCAUUAUGGUGGCCCUUGUACAAAGAAGACAUGCAAAUUUGGGAAAUGUUCCAUAAUUAA
ensembl:snRNA U6 U6 spliceosomal RNA